AUUGAACGCUGGCGGCAUGCCUUACACAUGCAAGUCGAACGGUAACAGGUCUUCGGAUGCUGACGAGUGGCGAACGGGUGAGUAAUAUAUCGGAACGUGCCCAGUCGUGGGGGAUAACGCAGCGAAAGCUGUGCUAAUACCGCAUACGAUCUAGGGAUGAAAGCGGGGGAUCGCAAGACCUCGCGCAAUUGGAGCGGCCGAUAUCAGAUUAGGUAGUUGGUGGGGUAAAGGCCUACCAAGCCAACGAUCUGUAGCUGGUCUGAGAGGACGACCAGCCACACUGGAACUGAGACACGGUCCAGACUCCUACGGGAGGCAGCAGUGGGGAAUUUUGGACAAUGGGCGCAAGCCUGAUCCAGCAAUGCCGCGUGCAGGAUGAAGGCCUUCGGGUUGUAAACUGCUUUUGUACGGAACGAAAAGGCUCUGGUUAAUACCUGGGGCUCAUGACGGUACCGUAAGAAUAAGCACCGGCUAACUACGUGCCAGCCGCCGCCGUAA
rnacentral:rRNA from 1 species